rnacentral:rRNA from 2 species
CGGGAGGCAGCAGUAGGGAAUCUUCCACAAUGGACGAAAGUCUGAUGGAGCAACGCCGCGUGAGUGAUGAAGGUUUUCGGAUCGUAAAACUCUGUUGUUAAAGAAGAACAAGUGUUAGAGUAACUGUUAACACUUUGACGGUAUUUAACCAGAAAGCCACGGCUAACUACGUGCCAGCAGCCGCGGUAAUACGUAGGUGGCAAGCGUUGUCCGGAUUUAUUGGGCGUAAAGCGAGCGCAGGCGGUUUUGUAAGUCUGCUGUGAAAGCCCUCAGCUCAACUGAGGAAGUGCAGUGGAAACUACAAAACUUGAGUACAGAAGANGAAAAGUGGAACUCCAUGUGUAGCGGUGAAAUGCGUANAUAUAUGGAAGAACACCAGUGGCGAAGGCGGCUUUUCUGGUCUGUUUACUGACCCUGAGGCUCGAAAGCAUGGGUAGCGAACAGGAUUAGAUACCCUGGUAGUCCAUGCCGUAAAACGAUGAAUACUAGGUGUUGGAGGGGUUUCCGCCCUUCAGUGCCGCAGCUAACGCAUUAAGUAUUCCGCCUGGGGGAGUACGACCGCAAGGUUGAAACUCAAAGGAAUUGACGGGGGCCCGCACAAGUGGUGGAGCAUGUGGUUUAAUUCGAUGCUACGCGAAGAACCUUACCAGCUCUUGACAUCUUCUGCCAACCCAAGAGAUUGGGCGUUCCCUUCGGGGACAGAAUGACAGGUGGUGCAUGGUUGUCGUCAGCUCGUGUCGUGAGAUGUUGGGUUAAGUCCCGCAACGAGCGCAACCCUUAUUAUUAGUUGCCAGCAUUUAGUUGGGCACUCUAGUGAGACUGCCGGUGAUAAACCGGAGGAAGGUGGGGACGACGUCAAAUCAUCAUGCCCCUUAUGAGCUGGGCUACACACGUGCUACAAUGGAUGGUACAACGAGUCGCGAAACCGCGAGGUCAAGCUAAUCUCUUAAAGCCAUUCUCAGUUCGGAUUGCAGGCUGCAACUCGCCUGCAUGAAGUUGGAAUCACUAGUAAUCGUGGAUCAGCAUGCCACGGUGAAUACGUUCCCGGGCCUUGUACAC